rnacentral:lncRNA from 1 species
GCCUGUAAUCCCAGCACUUUGGGAGGCCGAGGUGGGUGGAUCACUUGAGGUUAGGAGCUUGAGACUAGCCUGGUAAACAUGGCAAAACGCUGUUUCUACUAAAAAUACAAAAAUUAGCCAGGCAUGAUGGCGCAUGCCUGUAAUCCCAGCUACUCGGGAGGCUGAGGCAGGAGAAUCGCUUGAAACUGGGAGGCAGAGGCAGUAGUAAGCUGAGAUCCAACCAGUGCACUGCAGCCUGAGCAACAGAGCAAGACUCUGUCUAAAAAAAAAAAAAACAAACCUCUUUCCUCCUCCCAACUACAGUAAAAUCUGGCAGUAGCCCAAGGUGACACUAAAGGGCAACGGACACCAGGCUGUGGUGUAUGUAAGGCAGUUGGGGGUGGUGAGGAUGGGGGCGACUUACUUUACCAUCUAAUGGGGGCUGCUGCUGCUGAGCCCUAGGAGAUAUGCAGACCUGGGAUAUCUGGAUGAUUAGAUUUUUUUCCAGAAAAGGGAGAGUGUUGGAUUUCUACAUGGUAGCCCUCAGUUUUUUAAAUGCUGACAAAUAAUUUAAAGAUAAUUGUUCAGGCCGGGGGUGAUGGCUCAUGCCCGUAAUCCCAGCACUUUGGGGGGCCCAGGCAGGAGGAUCGCUUGAGGCCAGGAGUUCAAGACCAGCCUGGGCAACAUAGUGAGACCCUGUCUCUACCUACCCUUUUUUUUUUUUUUUUUUUUUUUUGAGACAGGGUCUUCCUGUGUCACUCAGGCUGGAGUGCAGUGGCACAAUCUCAGCUCGCUGCAAUCUCGACCCUCCCAGACUCCAGUGAUCCUCCUACCUCAGCCUCCCAAGUAGCUGGGACUACUGCCGUGUGCCACCAUGCCUGGCUAAUUUUUUAAUUUUUUGUAGAGACAAAAAAUAAAACAUGGGGUUUUGCCAUGUUUCCCAAGCUGGUCUCAAACUCCUGAGCUCAAGUGAUCUGCCUGCCUCAGCCUCCCAAAGUGCUGCGAUUAGAGGUGUGAGUAACCACUCCUGGCCUAAAAAUUUUUUACUUUAAAAAAAAAAAGUUGUUUUAAAUAAUUGUUCAGCUCCCUGGAAUGUGAGGCUGAGGGCUGCUGUGACCUCAGGACUCCCUCUGAGCUUUCACAGUGCUAGAGCAGGGGAAGUUGCAAGCAAAUUAAUCCCAGAACAGGGUUAGGGGCAGCCUGAAACCUGAGGCCCCGCUCCUCCUGGAGUUCCCUGCCUGCUUCUUUGCCCCCUAUGGGCAGCUGUGACCCACACCCCGCUGCCCUGGUGAGUGAUGUGUCCAUCAUGGCCAUGGCAGCUUCCGGGCUGCAGCUGGGGUCUGGUUUCCCACUAAGGCUGAAGUAAGGAACCAUAAUCUCUGGGCUGACACCCCAGGCUGCACGCUCCUCAUGGAAACACCAUCUGUGAGCUGGACACACACAGCCCACAGCCCUGGGUAAAGAGAUUUAUUCGUAGAGCGUUCCCU